rnacentral:rRNA from 1 species
UACGUAGGUGGCAAGCGUUGUCCGGAUUUACUGGGCGUAAAGAGCGCGCAGGCGGUCGAAUAAGUCGAAUGUGAAAGCCCCCGGCUCAACUGGGGAGGGUCAUUCGAUACUGCUCGACUUGAAGGCAGGAGAGGGUAGUGGAAUUCCCGGUGUAGUGGUGAAAUGCGCAGAUAUCAGGAGGAACACCGAUAGCGAAGGCAGCUCGCUGGGACGGUACUGACGCUGAGGCGCGAAAGCGUGGGGAGCGAACAGG